rnacentral:rRNA from 1 species
GCGGACGGGUGAGUAAUGCCUAGGAAUCUGCCUGGUAGUGGGGGAUAACGUUCGGAAACGGACGCUAAUACCGCAUACGUCCUACGGGAGAAAGCAGGGGACCUUCGGGCCUUGCGCUAUCAGAUGAGCCUAGGUCGGAUUAGCUAGUUGGUGGGGUAAUGGCUCACCAAGGCGACGAUCCGUAACUGGUCUGAGAGGAUGAUCAGUCACACUGGAACUGAGACACGGUCCAGACUCCUACGGGAGGCAGCAGUGGGGAAUAUUGGACAAUGGGCGAAAGCCUGAUCCAGCCAUGCCGCGUGUGUGAAGAAGGUCUUCGGAUUGUAAAGCACUUUAAGUUGGGAGGAAGGGCAGUAAAUUAAUACUUUGCUGUUUUGACGUUACCGACAGAAUAAGCACCGGCUAACUCUGUGCCAGCAGCCGCGGUAAUACAGAGGGUGCAAGCGUUAAUCGGAAUUACUGGGCGUAAAGCGCGCGUAGGUGGCUAGUUAAGUUGGAUGUGAAAUCCCCGGGCUCAACCUGGGAACUGCAUUCAAAACUGACUGACUAGAGUAUGGUAGAGGGUGGUGGAAUUUCCUGUGUAGCGGUGAAAUGCGUAGAUAUAGGAAGGAACACCAGUGGCGAAGGCGACCACCUGGACUGAUACUGACACUGAGGUGCGAAAGCGUGGGGAGCAAAC